rnacentral:rRNA from 1 species
GUGGGGAAUCUUCCGCAAUGGACGAAAGUCUGACGGAGCAACGCCGCGUGAGUGAUGACGGCCUUCGGGUUGUAAAGCUCUGUGAUCGGGGACGAAUGGCUGGUGUGCUAAUACCACAUCAGAGUGACGGUACCCGAAUAGCAAGCCACGGCUAACUACGUGCCAGCAGCCGCGGUAAUACGUAGGUGGCAAGCGUUGUCCGGAAUGAUUGGGCGUAAAGCGCGCGCAGGCGGCUUCUUAAGUCCAUCUUAAAAGUGCGGGGCUUAACCCCGUGAUGGGAUGGAAACUGGGAGGCUGGAGUAUCGGAGAGGAAAGUGGAAUUCCUAGUGUAGCGGUGAAAUGCGUAGAGAUUAGGAAGAACACCGGUGGCGAAGGCGACUUUCUGGACGACAACUGACGCUGAGGCGCGAAAGCGUGGGGAGCAAACAGGAUUAGAAACCCUUGUAGUCC